rnacentral:rRNA from 1 species
GGAUGAUCGGCCACACUGGAACUGACACACGGUCCAGACUCCUACGGGAGGCAGCAGUGAGGAAUUUUGCGCAAUGGGGGAAACCCUGACGCAGCAACGCCGCGUGAGUGAUGAAGGCUUUCGGGUCGUAAAGCUCUGUCAAGUGGGAAGAACUUGUCUGGUGCGAAUACCACCGGACACUGACGGUACCACUGAAGGAAGCACCGGCUAACUCCGUGCCAGCAGCCGCGGUAAUACGGGGGGUGCAAGCGUUAUUCGGAAUCAUUGGGCGUAAAGGGCGCGUAGGCGGCCUCUUAAGUCAGAUGUGAAAGCCCGGGGCUUAACCCCGGAAGUGCAUUUGAAACUGAGAAGCUUGAGUAUGGGAGAGGGAAGUGGAAUUCCUGGUGUAGAGGUGAAAUUCGUAGAUAUCAGGAGGAACACCGGUGGCGAAGGCGGCUUCCUGGACCAAUACUGACGCUGAGGCGCGAAGGCGUGGGUAGCAAACAGGAUUAGAUACCCUGGUAGUCCACGCAGUAAACGUUGAACACUAGGUGUAGCGGGUAUUGACCCCUGCUGUGCCGCAGUUAACGCAUUAAGUGUUCCGCCUGGGAAGUACGGCCGCAAGGUUAAAACUCAAAGGAAUUGACGGGGGCCCGCACAAGCGGUGGAGCAUGUGGUUUAAUUCGACGCAACGCGAAGAACCUUACCUGGGUUUGACAUCCCGAGAAGUCUCUUGAAAGAGAGAUGUGCCCUUCGGGGAAUUCGGAGACAGGUGCUGCAUGGCUGUCGUCAGCUCGUGUCGUGAGAUGUUGGGUUAAGUCCCGCAACGAGCGCAACCCUUAUCUUUAGUUACCAGCAUUCAGUUGGGGACUCUAAAGAUACUGCCCCGGUUAACGGGGAGGAAGGUGGGGAUGACGUCAAGUCCUCAUGGCCCUUAUACCCAGGGCUACACACGUGCUACAAUGGGCUGUACAAAGGGUCGCGAGCCCGCGAGGGUUAGCUAAUCCCAGAAAGCAGCUCUAAGUUCGGAUUGGAGUCUGCAACUCGACUCCAUGAAGCUGGAAUCGCUAGUAAUCGUGGAUCAGCACGCCACGGUGAAUACGUUCCCGGGCCUUGUACACACCGCCCGUCACACCAUGAGAGUUGGUUGUACCAGAAGUUGUUGGACCAACCCGCAAGGGGGGUAAGCACCUAAGGUAUGGCUGAUGAUUGGGGUGAAGUCGUAACAAGGUA